rnacentral:rRNA from 1 species
CGUGUAGGCGGUCCAUCAAGUUGGGUGUGAAAGCCCUCGGCUUAACCGAGGAAGUGCGCCCAAAACUAGUGGACUCGAGUACCGGAGAGGGUGGCGGAAUUCCCGGUGUAGAGGUGAAAUUCGUAGAUAUCGGGAGGAACACCAGCGGCGAAGGCGGCCACCUGGACGGAUACUGACGCUGAGACGCGAAAGCGUGGGGAGCAAACA